CGCGGCCUAUCAGCUUGUUGGUGGGGUAACGGCCCACCAAGGCGACGACGGGUAGCUGGUCUGAGAGGACGGCCAGCCACACUGGGACUGAGACACGGCCCAGACUCCUACGGGAGGCAGCAGUGGGGAAUCUUGCGCCAAUGCGCGAAAGCGUGACGCAGCGACGCCGCGUGGGGGAUGAAGGCCUUCGGGUUGUAAACCCCUUUCGGCAGGGACGAAGCGGAAGUGACGGUACCUGCAGAAGAAGCUCCGGCUAACUACGUGCCAGCAGCCGCGGUAACACGUAGGGAGCGAGCGUUGUCCGGAUUCAUUGGGCGUAAAGCGCGCGUAGGCGGUCGUGCAAGUCGGUCGUGAAAUCCCGGGGCUCAACCCCGUGAACCGCGUCCGAUACUGCGCGACUAGAGGCAGGUAGGGGAGAUCGGAAUUCCUGGUGUAGCGGUGAAAUGCGCAGAUAUCAGGAGGAACACCGGUGGCGAAGGCGGAUCUCUGGGCCUGUCCUGACGCUGAGGCGCGAAAGCUAGGGGAGCGAACAGGAUUAGAUACCCUGGUAGUCCUAGCCGUAAACGUUGGGUGCUAGGUGUGGGCGGACAUCGACCCCGUCCGUGCCGAAGCUAACGCAUUAAGCACCCCGCCUGGGGAGUACGG
rnacentral:rRNA from 1 species